UACAGAGGGUGCGAGCGUUGUUCGGAAUUAUUGGGCGUAAAGGGCGCGUAGGCGGCGCCACAAGUCACUUGUGAAAACUCUGGGCUUAACUCAGAGCCUGCAGGCGAAACUGCAAUGCUGGAGGGUGGGAGAGGUGCGUGGAAUUCCCGGUUUAGCGGUGAAUUGCGUAGAUAUCGGGAGGAACACCUGUGGCGAAAGCGGCGCACUGGACCACUACUGACGCUGAGGCGCGAAAGCUAGGGGAGCAAACAGG
rnacentral:rRNA from 1 species